UUGAAUCGAGAACGUGUAAAAGAAUCUUAGCGACAUAAAUCGUAGUGAUUAGAUACACAUAAUCACAUGUUAUUAGGGUUCUGUGAACAAUAACAUACAACAAGUAAUUCUUACGUAAUAGGAGAGUUAGUGCUCACCUCCUUGAUCUUGAAAAUUAGCUAGCAUGAGCAAGAUGGAUCAUUUCCUUUCCAAGAACCUACACAAAAGUUAUAACAUUAUUUAUAUAGACAUCAUUAGUUUUUGUCUAUAUAAAUCCUAUGUGAUUAGAUACAUAUAAAUGAUUACAAUUGACAAAUAAUAGUUAUAGAAUCGAGAAUGGGAUAACCAAUCUUAUGCACAUAAAUUAUAUAUGAUUGGAUACAUAUAAUCAUAUGUGAUUAUAUGUAUUUAAUUAGAUAUGAUUUAUGUAGACAAUAUUUAUUUUUGCGGUUUCGAUUGAAUAAUUGUUUUUGUAUAUUUAAUCACCUCUGGUUAUAUGUAUAUAAUCAGAUAUGAUUUGAGGUGGACAAGAUUCAUUUUUGCCUUUUUGAUUCAAUAGUUGUGUUCAUGUACUUAAUCACAUACGAUUAUACAUAUAAUCAUAUGUGAUUAAAUACACAAGAACAAGAACUGAAUCGAGAACGCAAAAAUGAAUAUUUUGCACAUAAAUUCUAUGUGAUUAGAUACAUAUAAUCACAUGUGACUAUAUACAUUUAAUCAUAUAUGAUAUAUGUGGACUUUAUCUUUAUGUUCUCGAUUCUAUAGUUGUUCUCGUGUAUAUAUAAUCGUAUGUGAUUGUAAUUCAUAGGUAUUUAUAUACCCAUACGUAAGAGUCACAAAAUAAUACAAAAGAUGGUAAAAUAUAAUGUUUCUUAUAUAAUAAUAAUAAUAAUAAUAAUAAUAAUAAUAAUAAUAAUAAUAAUCGUUAUUAUUAAUAUGUCAUUAUAUAAGAAACAUUAUAUUUUAACAUCUUUUGUAUUAUUUUGUGACUCUUACGUAUUGGCAUAUAAAUACCUUUGAAUUUCUAUAUGGAAUGCAUGGGAAUCGAUAAAACUAACAAGGUUGAACUAAUAUAUCCUAAAGACUUGAAUAAUAUAAUCUUUAACACAUGUUUAAAUGUUACUCAAGUGUAAUAUAUUUAUCAUAUACAAAAACUAAUUUAAAAACACUACUCCAGAAGCACUAGACAAAAUAAUUGCCAUUAUUAAUGAUCUUUGAGCUAACCAAUACAAACUAAAUCUUUUUAUACUUAAAUUCUAAUUCCAUUUGUGCUUACAAUAAGAAGUAAAGGUAUGGAGAGAACAAAAAAGUUGAGAAGCAUAAAAGUUGAUCAAGUUUCUUCAAGCAAAGACUAUUAAUGUUGGGGAACCUUCCGACUGCAACUUUUUGUUCUUUUUCUGUUAUUGUUCAAAGUUCAUACCCCUCAAAAAUUACCAAGAGAAUCACCGCCACAAAAAUAGUUGACUUUUCCAUUUUUCUAAUUAUGGUUGUGAUUUUACAAAUGGUUUUGUAUAUGUGCAGAAUUUAAGGCUUAAAGAACCGAAACCAAAACAAUAAUUUAUAUUAAAAAAAUUAAAAGCACCAAAAUACAACUAACAACAGUAAAUGAGUAAAUAAAUUGAUGUAAUAGCUUUAGCCCAAAGAUUCGAGAUGAGAAAGAAAGAUUACAAUAAGUAGCCGAAUUGAUUGCAUUCCAAAUUGGCUACUAAUCCUGACUUGAAUCUUGUCGAUCGUUAUAGAUUUGAUUGUCUAGGGUUCCGAACUUUUACUUGAAGGAAGUUUUCCUUUUUAACAAAAUCAUAUUCCCCUAUAAUCAUAACUCCAUUUUUACAGCAUCUUCAAAAUAAAGUAUUUAUUCAUCUCGUUUAACUUUUGAAGUGUGUAUUGAAAUCAUUACCUGAAGAGAAGUAACCCAGCCGAUGAGUAAACAGGCGAGCCAUAAUUUCAAUAUAAACAAUACCGAUUCAUCUUGUUACAAACGAUCGAUUCAUCUUGUUACAAACGAUUGAGGGAGGUGGUUCAGAAGGCCAGUUCUGGUAGCAACAUUGGCAGAUCCGAUGGUGACGGUGGUGGCCGAUGAAACCUAAUCUAGCGGCUGGGAAGCUAGAUCGAGAAGAGUAGAGACAAAAGGAGGUGACUUCCGGCGAAAUGAGUACUAGAGGCGGAUGAAAGAGGCAGUAGUUUAGUGGUUCCGACGACGUCGGUACGGUGGUCCGAUAGUCUUUUGGUGGUGUAGCUUCAAAUGACGGGAGAACCCGUACAAUUGUGUUUGGAGGUUGGGGGUAGGGACUAGCAUGUAUGGCUUAGCUUUUCAUAUUCCAAAAGUCUUUUUUGAAAAAUAAAAAAAAAGCAAAAGAUAUUUGGCAAAAGUUACUUUUGGAGUUUUAUACAAGUAAAAUGAAUUUUUUGGAAAAGUCAGGAAAUUCUGAUUUUUCGUAACUUUUUCAAAAAUGACUUUUAGGCUGUGAAAAGCUAACCCAAAC
rnacentral:lncRNA from 1 species